CUGUUGUGCUUGGAUGCCAGUUUUAGAAAUUUUACUCAUUUGCAUUAAAGAAUUGAUGUUGGCAGCCUUCUAUGUUGAAAUGCUUUAUUUUGGAAAGAAUGAUAUUUUGUGAAUGUUACCGUAGUAUGACUCACCCAAUCAUCUUAUCAUAUUACUGCUUAGCAUAUUUAAAAAUCUCUUUGCUGUGAAUGGUCAGCUAUGUUAGGCCCUUCUAUGCUAGUAGUCGUGAUUAUAAUCUUACUUUUGGAAAUUAUAGCAUGCCAGAUGACACUUGUGUUCGAUUUGUUCAUGUAAUCUGUUUUAGGUUCUCAACAAGUAAUAGUUUCUUCUCUCGGUUACAAGUCACUCGCCCUCUUAUUAUUGCAGAAAUUUAAUACGCUGUCAUUUAUUUUUCUCCCGCUUCAGGCCAGACGAGACUAAGAAGGCUUAUGUUCGUUUGACGCCUGACUUUGAUGCUUUGGAUGUUGCAAACGAGAUUGGAAUCAAAUAAGUACCUGGCUCUCGAGGUUUGAAUUUGUGAUUUUUUUGGUAGAAUCUACCAGCGGCACUUGGAUUAUGUAAACAACCGUGCUACUUGGCCAGGGCCUUGGUUUUUCAGGGACAUGUGUCCCUCAUUGGCAGGGAGUCUGUCAAGUAGAAUAAUUCUUACAACCGAGCUACAGGAACCAUGGGAGUGAUUGUGGGGAUGACUGCGCGCGCGCACACACACACGGGUUUGAGACUUUUUAAUUCACGCGGGAUCCACUCGUCCCAUGUGAGGGCACGAUCAUCCACGUGGUCAUCGGUGUGGAUCGUUUAGCUUUAUUCUAAUUUUUAUGUAAAACUUGGUUGUGGUGAAACUUCUUUCAUUUCAUCUAAACGUUUGAUAUUCCAAAUACUGUAAUGAAUAAGUUGAACAUUAUAUUUAAUUCUACCUUUAAUUGAACACA
rnacentral:lncRNA from 1 species